rnacentral:rRNA from 1 species
UGGGGAAUAUUGGACAAUGGGCGAAAGCCUGAUCCAGCCAUGCCGCGUGUGUGAAGAAGGUCUUCGGAUUGUAAAGCACUUUAAGUUGGGAGGAAGGGCAUUAACCUAAUACGUUAGUGUUUUGACGUUACCGACAGAAUAAGCACCGGCUAACUCUGUGCCAGCAGCCGCGGUAAUAAAGAGGGUGCAAGCGUUAAUAGGAAUUACUGGGCGUAAAGCGCGCGUAGGUGGUUUGUUAAGUUGGAUGUGAAAUCCCCGGGCUCAACCUGGGAACUGCAUUCAAAACUGACUGACUAGAGUAUGGUAGAGGGUGGUGGAAUUUCCUGUGUAGCGGUGAAAUGCGUAGAUAUAGGAAGGAACACCAGUGGCGAAGGCGACCACCUGGACUAAUACUGACACUGAGGUGCGAAAGCGUGGGGAGCAAACA